rnacentral:lncRNA from 1 species
UGGGAGGGAAAAAUGUUCAUGGAGGGGUGUGUGUGUGGGGGGGGGGUCCAAAUAUUUCUUUAACUGAUCAAAUAGGAGAUAGCAAAUUUUUUUAGCCUAACUGAUCCAAACAAGGGAAUAUGAGAAUUGAUUGAUAAAUUCUUAGAAUCGGCCACAUGAUACCUGUCAAUUUCUCAACCAAAGAUCAUUUCUCAAUCAGAAAACCAAAGCUUGUCUACUACUCCAUCCGUUUCAAAAUGCAAGUAGUUUUGAAUUUUCUGUACAGAUAGGUCCUACUAUGCACCUAAAUAUAG